rnacentral:rRNA from 1 species
AGGAACUAGGCAAAAUGGUGCCGUAACUUCGGGAGAAGGCACGCUGAUAUGUAGGUGAAGCGACUUGCUCGUGGAGCUGAAAUCAGUCGAAGAUACCAGCUGGCUGCAACUGUUUAUUAAAAACACAGCACUGUGCAAACACGAAAGUGGACGUAUACGGUGUGACGCCUGCCCGGUGCCGGAAGGUUAAUUGAUGGGGUUAGCGGUAACGCGAAGCUCUUGAUCGAAGCCCCGGUAAACGGCGGCCGUAACUAUAACGGUCCUAAGGUAGCGAAAUUCCUUGUCGGGUAAGUUCCGACCUGCACGAAUGGCGUAAUGAUGGCCAGGCUGUCUCCACCCGAGACUCAGUGAAAUUGAACUCGCUGUGAAGAUGCAGUGUACCCGCGGCAAGACGGAAAGACCCCGUGAACCUUUACUAUAGCUUGACACUGAACAUUGAGCCUUGAUGUGUAGGAUAGGUGGGAGGCUUUGAAGUGUGGACGCCAGUCUGCAUGGAGCCGACCUUGAAAUACCACCCUUUAAUGUUUGAUGUUCUAACGUUGGCCCCUAAUCGGGGUUGCGGACAGUGUCUGGUGGGUAGUUUGACUGGGGCGGUCUCCUCCUAAAGAGUAACGGAGGAGCACGAAGGUUGGCUAAUCCUGGUCGGACAUCAGGAGGUUAGUGCAAUGGCAUAAGCCAGCUUGACUGCGAGCGUGACGGCGCGAGCAGGUGCGAAAGCAGGUCAUAGUGAUCCGGUGGUUCUGAAUGGAAGGGCCAUCGCUCAACGGAUAAAAGGUACUCCGGGGAUAACAGGCUGAUACCGCCCAAGAGUUCAUAUCGACGGCGGUGUUUGGCACCUCGAUGUCGGCUCAUCACAUCCUGGGGCUGAAGUAGGUCCCAAGGGUAUGGCUGUUCGCCAUUUAAAGUGGUACGCGAGCUGGGUUUAGAACGUCGUGAGACAGUUCGGUCCCUAUCUGCCGUGGGCGCUGGAGAACUGAGGGGGGCUGCUCCUAGUACGAGAGGACCGGAGUGGACGCAUCACUGGUGUUCGGGUUGUCAUGCCAAUGGCACUGCCCGGUAGCUAAAUGCGGAAGAGAUAAGUGCUGAAAGCAUCUAAGCACGAAACUUGCCCCGAGAUGAGUUCUCCCUGAGACUUAGAGUCUCCUGAAGGAACGUUGAAGACGACGACGUUGAUAGGCCGGGUGUGUAAGCGCAGCGAUGCGUUGAGCUAACCGGUACUAAUGAACCGUGAGGCUUAACCUU